rnacentral:lncRNA from 1 species
AGGCAAGGCAGCCGUGAGGCGGAGGACAGGCUGGGGGACCCCAAUGGGUCCACUCCGGCCCCCACCCCAGGCACUGGGACUCUGGCGGCACCCUGGAUGGCAGGCAAGCCUUGAAGUUAAGUGCACGCGCCUUGGAAAGGAGGACAGGGAGAGUUAUGGGAUUUAUGAAUGAAGAAGAGAAAGAGAAUCACUCGGAUGGGAAAAGUUAACUGGAUUGUUCCCACCUGCAUGGAUCACCGGGUCUGGACAGCUACUUGUUAUAUUUGGCUCAUGCUAGCUUAAAAAAGGAAUUUAUGGACCUUACUGCAGAACGUCCCAAUUCUUCAGGCCAAGGAAAAUUCCCUGGAGUCCAAGGGUUGUGUGAUGAGGCCCCCCGCCCCCACUCCGUAACUUCCUGGCCAUCUGCGUGACUCGCAACCCUGAGGCUUCCAAGGAAGAGCAUUUUCGCCACCCCUCAAGACUGCUUCACAGCCGGCAUCGCUUGAGCACAUUGCCUCAUUUUUUUUGAAGGGAUCGCGCUGGUUUAUGGCUUUUUCACCUCCAAACCUGUCCUCACUGGGUGCAGGAGAAAUUCCGAUUUGCCAGGAACCUGUCCAGUCAUCUGGAACCUUCCCCAGGGCUGGGAAGGUCAACUCCCGCCACAGGUCAUAUUGAUUUUAUUGGAUGGCUUUUUCCAAAGCAGUGGAACAGCAGCAGGCGGGGAGGGUUCCAGCUCUGCGCGGGAGCACACGGCCCACGCUGCCUGAAACGGCUCUCCCGUUCCUCGCCAGUACAGGGAGCGGGUAUAGGGGCUGGCCCACCUACAAUCCCCUCCUAGAUCAGGCCUUUGCUUGCAUUAUCAGAGUGGGAUUGUCAACCUGGUUUCCUUAAAUUGCUGCAUGAGCUCGGUCCAUGUGUGGUCACAAAGCAAGAUACCCCAUCCGCCCCACGGAAUAUAUUAAGCGUCUGUGCAGUGAUUGCUGUUGACCGCUUCCUGGGAGCUGGCGAGGAGGCCCCUGCUAGCCCCUGAUAGGGAAGAGACAGUCGUGGGGGACAGAGCAGAUGUGCCUUGGGAAGAGUCAAAAGGGAAGAGGGAGGGGUGGGCUGGGUUGAAAGCCUGCUGGACCUGGGCUCUACCCUUUACCACCUUCCAAGGGAGGCAUGAUCCCACUGUACAGAGUAAGGCCCUGAGGCCAGGAAGGGCAAGGUGACCUGAGAGCUAGCACCAGAAGCCAGGCCUAGCUCCAGAAUCCUUGCCUGUAACAGAGAGAAUGGCUGUUCUCUCACUUUGGUACACAUCAAAAUCAGAGGGCUUGUCAAAAUGCUGUUUCCCAGGCCCCCACACCAACUCCUAGGGGACAGACGUCUCUGGAUAGCAAGUCACAGAUGUGUACUGGCAGGGGCCAAAUGAGGACCCAUGGCUACACUGCUGACCAAAGGUCUUCUCCAGUAACAGGCAAACGACUCUGGACCCAUGAACACCAGGGGAGUGAUCCAGGGAGAGAGAAGAUGUUUCGGGCUCUCCGGUUGCGAAUUCUAAUCCCCAUCGUUUAUCUGAUCCUUUCUCACUCCAAAUGGUUUGGAAAUGCCAGCACACACUCAACUUCCUCAGAGGCACAUCUGUGCUUCGUGGUGCAACAAGGAAAGCCUGGGUGCAGGCACAGAGGUCUGUAGUCACGUGGGAGUUUGGAGGCUGCAAGUUGCUUGAUGCUGGUGGAUUAUCAAGUAUGAGAUGUGAUGUGGAGGGGUAGAUAAGACAGAUCGUGAAGGUUAAAUAUUGUAUCUGUCCCCUCGGCCUUUUUUUCCCCCCCGAGUGGUGACAGGAAGUCUCCUAAGGGUUUUAACUGGGGGAUGACAUGGCCAGUCCUAGGUGUUUGAAGGCUCACCCUGGCUGCAGUACAGAAAGGCAAAGCUGGACCAGGGCAGUUAGGAGCCUUGUGUGGUCCAAGCAAAAUAUACAGAGGCAUUUGAGUUCAGGUUAACCUGAAUGAGGAGUCCUUAUAGAUCCGCGAGAGCAUUCACUAGAGAAACCAGAAGAGCCACACCUUAGCAGUGGGCCUAAAUUAUUCCUACAGUAAGGGCUACAUUAGACCCACCCUAACCAAGAUUAUAAACAAGUCUCCAAAGGGUCAAACUGAACCACAAGUUUGAUUUGCCUGAAAAAGUUUUUGCCCCCAAAAGUCUUUAUUUUAUAAUUAUCUGCCUACCAAAGCAAAGCCCAACACUCUUUGAAGGAAGACAACAACAUUUUAGACACUCAACACUGAAGUGUCUAAAUGUUCUUAGAGCAGAAAGAAAAUGAUGCCAGAUAGAAAUUUAGAUCUACAAAAGAAAGAAUGACAAUAACAAAUAUGCAUGUAUUUUAAUUUGUUAAUUAAAUACGCUAUUUUUAAUUUUUAAUUUUUAAAUUAAUUUAAAAUAGAUUUGGCAAUUUAAAACAGAAACAAUAGCGAUGUGUAGUGGGAUGUGUAAUGUAAUUAUCAUAAUGUUCAACAUCCAAACAAAAAUUACUAAAUAUGUUAAGUUGAACAAUGUGAGACAAUCAGUCAAGAGACACAGUCUCAGAAAUGACAAGGAUGAUAGAAUUAGCAAACAAGGACAUUAAAACAACUAUUAAAUGCAUAUUCAAUUAUUUUUAAAACAUGAACAUAGUGAAGAGAGGAAUUUAGGAGAUAAAAAGCACCAAAUGGAACUUCUAGAGAUGAAAACUACAGUAUCAGAAAUGAAAAAUAUAAUGGGAUUAACAGCAGAUUUGGAAAUAGGGUGAAAGGAGAAGUGAAUGUUAAGACAUGGCAAUAGAAACGAUCCAAAA